GCCGUGUGAAAAUCCAACGAGCUCUCUGAAUGUUGAUAGAUGACAAUAACUCUGGGUCGAGGAGUGGUAUAGACAGAACCAUUAUCCAGCGGUUGAAACACUCCCGGAGUAACGUUGAGGGAUCUACAGGUGUCUCUGACCGAAGUCAGUGGCUGUGGUGAUUGGGUUGACUGUCAGAAAGAGAUUGGAUGAAUGUGGGCGGUCAGGAAGGAAGAAAAGCAAACACAGCAGCCUGAUCUGGUUAAGCUGGGCAUAUAGCGUUUCAGAAUGAAGAGGACUCCUGUUGAAGGAGUAGGCUGACGGAGAACGGAUUCUCACUUGCAACAGCGACCAAGAUAAAGCAUGAUAGUGCAAAAGGACAACACACAAUCUUACGUAAAGUGCAAAACGCAGGAUAAUCAAAGUAAUCAAUAGAAAGGUCUAUGUACAGUUGGUGCAAAAGAGGUCUGUUGAACGAGGUGGAUCAAUAAAUACGCUGAGGUGACUUAGUAUUAAAAACCGGACAGUAACACCGGGGCGUACCUGAGCUGUGUUGAAGUGCAAAUAACUGCGCAGACGAUGAUGCCUUAGUACGCCAUGGGGCGUGAAAGGGAGACUGGGGCGUGAAUGUGCAAGAGAUAAGGUGCAAAGACGAGGGAGGACAAAUUAACAUGUGCAAUGACCGGAAAGCGUCUCUGACAAUAGUUCCUGGGAGACAUUGAGGGAGAAGGGAAUUUCCAGUUUCAUGUUGUUUUGC